GACGAACGCUGGCGGCGUGCUUAACACAUGCAAGUCGAACGGAAAGGCCCUGCUUUUGUGGGGUGCUCGAGUGGUGAACGGGUGAGUAACACGUGAGUAACCUGCCCUUGACUUUGGGAUAACUUCAGGAAACUGGGGCUAAUACCGGAUAGGAGCUCCUGCUGCAUGGUGGGGGUUGGAAAGUUUCGGCGGUUGGGGAUGGACUCGCGGCUUAUCAGCUUGUUGGUGGGGUAGUGGCUUACCAAGGCUUUGACGGGUAGCCGGCCUGGGAGGGUGACCGGGGCGGGGGUGGGGAGACGCAGUGUGGCGAAGGAGAGCCGGCGCAGAUGCCGAGGGGGGGCAGAGGGGGGGAAGGAUGACAACGGGGCGGCUGUCGAAGGCAGCACGGCGGGUGGUGGGAUGAGGUCCGUAGUGUGGACACACGUUGUCGCGGUGGAAGAAGCGUGAUGGACGGUAAGGAGCAAAGACGAAACGGAAAACCACGUUCCAGCCGCCGCGGUAAUAGAUAAACAACACACGCUUGAUC
rnacentral:rRNA from 1 species